UCUCACACGAUUUUAGUUAAUUCAAACUCAACAGUACAAUCAGUUUUUCACAACCAAAUAAACUGUUCACAAAGGGUUCUACAUGUGUUGAUCCACUGUAUCUUGGAAAUUGAUUCACCACGAAACCUUGUGCAUACCGAUUUGAUCAAACGGUGGGAAAAAAUGCUUUUCUAAUUAAUUAAGCAAAGUGGGAAAGAAAUUCGUCCUCAAGUUUAAAUCCUGCAAACUGUACAAAAGGUAUAAAAGAGGAAGAAAAAGAAAGCUUGGUUGGAUGUGGAAUUGUUUAGAAUUGAUUGAAGAAUCAAAGUUGGCAAGGCUGGAUGCCACCGUAGCUUACGGUGCCUACCGUAAGCUACGGUAAGCCUGAUUACCGUAUGGGUCGCCGUGGUACAGUGGGUAGCCACUGUAGCUUACCGUGGAGGCAGACGCUGAUUUUUUCCAUUUCCUUUAAGACCAACUUUUGUGGUGACUCUUGGAUAUCUUUUACAUUGCAUUCAUUUCAGAACUUGUUAGAGGCAAAAUUAGGGUUCCAAUACAUUAUUUUGGGUGUUUUAAUCAUUGCUGUUUCACCUUUGAUCUCUAUGAACAACGGAUUGGAAGUUAUGAUGAUCAACCAAACGAUGUGCGGCUAGUUUCUUUAUGUUUUCCCCGGAUUGUAAGGUUUCUCUUUGAAUGAUUGUCAUUGUUUAUGUUAUUUUUGGGAAAGUAAUUUAGUUAUUGUGAAUUUAUUGCUA